GCUCCGCGGAGGCGGACCCGCUCCCCGCUGCCGCCAUCUUCGCUUCCGGCCCCGGAAUCCCAGGAACACGACAACGCAACGAGAAGAAACCAGCAGCGAGCGGCCUGGGACACGCCGCUCGCGCUGCCUAAAGAGCCUCCCAAACACUGAGCUAGCUCUGGCAAUAUAUGUGUCAACCUCAUCUUCUGUGUGUACAUCUCUGGAAAGUAUACUGCCAAGGUGUCUGACAUUGCUAAAAACAUCAUGCUAAAAAGCAUGGAAGCAAGCACACAGCCCUAUUUCACUCCAUUGGUGACUGGGAGAGGGAAAGAGCAUUGUCCAUUAUCCAGAACUCAGGCAAGCAUGCUGUCAUGAAACUGAUGUACAAUACUGGUUAACUUCUUCAAGCAAUGAAAUUUUUCCAUAAUUUUCCACAAGUUCUCCUGACUGACAGUAUCAAAGGCCUUGGUCAGAUGGAUGAAUGUUAUUUAUAGACCUCUGUUAUGCUCUUAACAUUUCUCCUGGAGUUGUUGGGCAGCAAACACCAUAUCAACUAUUCCUUAGCCCUUUCUGAAGCCACACUGGCUCUCAGGUAGAUAACCAUCUUCCACAUGAAGGAUCACCAACACUGUCUUCCAUUGACCUAAAUGUAAUAAAACUUUGUGGAUACACCCUUGCAGCAAACACUGGCAUUUAAUAGACUAUGUCAUUAUAAGGAGAAGAGACAGAUAGGAUGUGAGAGUGACAAAGGUAAAAACCCAUGUGCUGAAAGGGUUUACCAGAGUGUGGAUAUUGGGCAUGCUUCUUGGAGCCACAGGUGAGAGCUGGGUGAAUCAGAUGGACACCAAAGAAAAAAAGCUCCCCUGAAAAGGGCUCAGCAGGCCUCAAACCAGAGGUAUUAGUCUUCCCUGAGGACCCCUGUACCUCUAUAAUGAAAUAUCAUGUAAUGAAAGAGCUAUCAUUAGUAAAAAUAGAGCAAAAUAAAUUGGUAACAUGUCUACUUCAUGAACAUUUUCUCUCUCUCUCUCUCUCUCUCUCUUUGGGGCAAUGAGGGUUAAGUGACUUACCCAGGGUCACACAGCUAAUAAGUGUAAAGUGUUUGA